rnacentral:rRNA from 1 species
AUACAUGCAAGUCGUACGCUUCUUUUUCCACCGGAGCUUGCUCCACCGGAAAAAGAAGAGUGGCGAACGGGUGAGUAACACGUGGGUAACCUGCCCAUCAGAAGGGGAUAACACUUGGAAACAGGUGCUAAUACCGUAUAACAAUCGAAACCGCAUGGUUUUGAUUUGAAAGGCGCUUUCGGGUGUCGCUGAUGGAUGGACCCGCGGUGCAUUAGCUAGUUGGUGAGGUAACGGCUCACCAAGGCCACGAUGCAUAGCCGACCUGAGAGGGUGAUCGGCCACAUUGGGACUGAGACACGGCCCAAACUCCUACGGGAGGCAGCAGUAGGGAAUCUUCGGCAAUGGACGAAAGUCUGACCGAGCAACGCCGCGUGAGUGAAGAAGGUUUUCGGAUCGUAAAACUCUGUUGUUAGAGAAGAACAAGGAUGAGAGUAACUGUUCAUCCCUUGACGGUAUCUAACCAGAAAGCCACGGCUAACUACGUGCCAGCAGCCGCGGUAAUACGUAGGUGGCAAGCGUUGUCCGGAUUUAUUGGGCGUAAAGCGAGCGCAGGCGGUUUCUUAAGUCUGAUGUGAAAGCCCCCGGCUCAACCGGGGAGGGUCAUUGGAAACUGGGAGACUUGAGUGCAGAAGAGGAGAGUGGAAUUCCAUGUGUAGCGGUGAAAUGCGUAGAUAUAUGGAGGAACACCAGUGGCGAAGGCGGCUCUCUGGUCUGUAACUGACGCUGAGGCUCGAAAGCGUGGGGAGCAAACAGGAUUAGAUACCCUGGUAGUCCACGCCGUAAACGAUGAGUGCUAAGUGUUGGAGGGUUUCCGCCCUUCAGUGCUGCAGCUAACGCAUUAAGCACUCCGCCUGGGGAGUACGACCGCAAGGUUGAAACUCAAAGGAAUUGACGGGGGCCCGCACAAGCGGUGGAGCAUGUGGUUUAAUUCGAAGCAACGCGAAGAACCUUACCAGGUCUUGACAUCCUUUGACCACUCUAGAGAUAGAGCUUCCCCUUCGGGGGCAAAGUGACAGGUGGUGCAUGGUUGUCGUCAGCUCGUGUCGUGAGAUGUUGGGUUAAGUCCCGCAACGAGCGCAACCCUUAUUGUUAGUUGCCAUCAUU